rnacentral:rRNA from 1 species
GACGAACGCUGGCGGCGUGCUUAACACAUGCAAGUCGAACGGAAAGGCCCUGCUUGCAGGGUACUCGAGUGGCGAACGGGUGAGUAACACGUGGGUGAUCUGCCCUGCACUUCGGGAUAAGCCUGGGAAACUGGGUCUAAUACCGGAUAGGAGCCAUUUUUAGUGUGAUGGUUGGAAAGUUUUUUCGGUGUAGGAUGGGCUCGCGGCCUAUCAGCUUGUUGGUGGGGUAAUGGCCUACCAAGGCGGCGACGGGUAGCCGGCCUGAGAGGGUGGACGGCCACAUUGGGACUGAGAUACGGCCCAGACUCCUACGGGAGGCAGCAGUGGGGAAUAUUGCACAAUGGGCGCAAGCCUGAUGCAGCGACGCCGCGUGGGAGAUGACGGCCUUCGGGUUGUAAACUCCUUUCGCUAGGGACGAAGCUUUUUGUGACGGUACCUAGAUAAGAAGCACCGGCUAACUACGUG